UACAGAGGGUGCAAGCGUUGUUCGGAAUUAUUGGGCGUAAAGGGCGCGUAGGCGGUGCGGUAAGUCUGUAGUGAAAUCUCUGGGCUCAACUCAGAGUCUGCUGCAGAAACUGCCGUGCUUGAGUGUGGGAGAGGUGAGUGGAACUCCCGGUGUAGCGGUGAAAUGCGCAGAUAUCGGGAAGAACACCCGUGGCGAAGGCGGUUCUCUGGGACGGUACUGACGCUGAGACGCGAAAGCGUGGGGAGCGAACAGG
rnacentral:rRNA from 1 species